GCCUCUCCAGACAUGCUUCCUGUACAGCCUGUAGAACUGCAUUGCAUGCUACUCCCUCAAACCUUUUUCUGGUAUCAACAACACAUCUUGGCUGGUGGAAACUGCUUAAUAACAUUUGCAUGAAAAUGUGUUUAGUCAAGGUACCCUUUUCUCCUCUGGCCAAAUAUCAGCAUUCAAUCUAAUACAAAACACUUGAAUUCUCUCUGGCAGAAAAUGCAAUCCUGAGGGAUACGACAAAAAAAAAUAAAAGCUAUUUUCUGCCUGA
rnacentral:lncRNA from 1 species